UUUUUAAUUAUUAUUAUUGGUUUGGUGGUGUAGAUUAGGGAUGCACAUGGAUUCGGGUUGGUAGAGCUCCUACUCAAUCCGGCCCGAAUGGAGCGGUAAGUGAUGUAAUUAAAAUUGUAGAAAAAUAUAAUUUCGUUCUAUUUCGAUCCGCCAAAUAAAUAAAGCGGAAGACGAAAAAUCCUUUCUUUCUUUGAUCCAUCUUGAUCCGCUAAAAAUAUACACCAAAAACACACUUUUGUCCUGAUCCGCUCCCAAUAGAGAGCGGCAAGCGGUGGCCAAAAAAUAAAAUUAAAAUUAACUCGUUUCAAAUCUGCCCCCGAUCUGAUAAUAAAUGGAGCGAGAGGUGAAAGACUCAUCCCGCACAUGGAUCCGUCCUGUUUACGUCCCUAGUGUAGAUCCAAUUCAUGAAGAUUUAUGUCAUAAAUUAAAGUUAGACUCUUGUGGUGGAAUCAUUCAGGAAAUCUAAGUAGGCUCAGGCUUGGUUUUCAGUAAGCUAUUCUAAUUCAUGUUGAUUAUGAAUUGGAACAGGACGAGAAGUUAGCACUACACCUACAUAUACGGUUGCAUACCGAACAGUGGGCAACGGCCUCACAUGCGACUUCGGGUAGGGAUGUCAAUGGGUAUGAAUACUCGAAAUUUUAUUCGAAUCCGAACCCGAAUGAAACGGAUAUAUCCGAUGGACAUGGAUAUGGAUUCGGAUAUGGAUAUCAAAAAUAGAAACCCGACGGAUCGCGAUUCGGAUAUGGAUGAUUGUACUCGACUCGAACCCGAACCCGACCCAAACCCGAAUUUAUUUUGUAUUAUAUAUAAUAUAUAUAUAAAUAUUUGAUGUUAUAUUUGAAUUUAUAUUUUAAAAUUUUAGAUUUAAUAUAAUAUAUUUUGAAAUAUUAGAAAAAGAAAUAAUUGUUUCGGGUUCAAAUUUUCGGGUUCGGGUUCGGGUUCGGGUUCAGAUUUCGGAUUUUUGGUCUGAUUCGGAUUUGGAUAUGGAUUUUUAAAAUUCGUCGGGUUCGGGUUCGGGUUCGGAUUCGGGUCUCGGGUUUGGAGUCGGGUUCGGGUUCGGGUUGAAGUUGCUAGCAAAGCAGAGGUUUUCGACCAGUUGCCUGAGCGGCUCAGAUCUUUCAAAGUAACGACAUAAAGGAUUUGAUCAGAAUUUUUAUAUUUCUCUAAUUUAGUUUUCUCGAUUAUGAUUUUUUAGAAAGUAUUUUUUUGUACUUUGUAUAAACUUUUUCGUUGGAAUAAAAGAAAGAUGGGUUUUAUUAAAAGACUUUUAUUUUUCUAUAUGAAGAAAUAUAAGGUGUAAGGUUAUCUUUUCAUUUCUUCACAUUGACGUAUAGUAAAUAAUCUCUCUUGUUUUCUUUGUAAAUGUAGAUAGUUACCGAACUACGUAAAUUUCAGAUUUAUACAGUUUCUAACCAUAUAAUGGUAAACUAUUUUGAUUUUUAUAUUCAAAGAUGGAUAUUCAAAACUCAAACUGCAAAUGAUCAGGUGCUCGGUAACUUAUUUUCAAAAUAGGUUUC
rnacentral:lncRNA from 1 species